CUCCUAUUUCCUUUGUUGCAAAUUAGUUGACUUGAAUUUGUCUAAAUACAGAUGUAUCUAUACUUGUUUAGUGUCUAGAUACAUUCGUGCCUAGAUAAAUAUGGGUCAAGUAAUUUGAAACGAAAGGAGUAGGUU
rnacentral:pre_miRNA from 1 species